UUAUGUUUUCGUUACAAUGUUGUGGUUAGGAUUUAUAAUGAUAACCGCGGUGACCGAUAUGUCAGCCAACACUCAAAAUGACAAAAUGCAUGAUGACACAAAAGUUCUGCAAAUGCUGAUUGAUUGUGGAGGAAGUGUGGCAUCUUUAAGAAAUGAGCUUAAAGAUAUAAAAGAAAAGUUGGAACGUGUGAGCACGAGGCAAGCAACGGGCACGUAUAUAAGAUGGGGAAGAUCUUCAUGACCAAGUGGAGCUACGACUAUUUACGAUGGAUUUACUGCUGGAUCUGAUGCAUACCACAGUGGAGCAGCUGCUAAUCAUAUAUGUCUGACUAAGAAACCAAAAUACCACUACUAUGCGAAUAAGCCGAAGUGGACAACAUUAAUAUAUGGAGCGCAAUAUAAAACUUUAAACAGUAUUUGGAACAACUUACACAGUCAUGAUAUUCCGUGUGCCGGUUGUCAUGUUCGGCGUUCAAGUAUCAUCAUGCAUCCUGGACGAGAUGAUUGUCCAGACAACUUCAAGUGAGAGUACGGAGGUUACCUAAUGGCUGGUCAUUAUAAACAUGACGCAGCUACCGAGUUUGUCUGCUUUGACGGUAAUUCACAUGCUGACAAAUAUUCAAGCUCAGCAGGUCAUGACGGGUCGUUGUUUUACUUUGUUGAAGCGGCAUGUGGCGCAUUGAAAUGUCGGCCUUAUGAAUCGGGGAAACAGAUCACGUGUGCUGUGUGUUCAUAUUCUCCUUAGAUUUUUU